GGUGAACGCUGGCGGCGUGCUUAAGACAUGCAAGUCGAACGGCAGUCUUCGGACUGUAGUGGCGCACGGGUGAGUAACGCGUAACUGACCUACCCCAAAGUCGCGGAUAACGAUUCGAAAGAAUCGCUAAUACGUGAUGUGCUGUCAGACUGUGUUCUGCCAGUAAAGAUUGAUUGCUUUGGGAUGAGGUUGCGUUCCAUCAGCUAGUUGGUGGGGUAAAGGCCCACCAAGGCGACGACGGAUAGCCGGCCUGAGAGGGUGGCCGGCCACAGGGGCACUGAGACACGGGUCCCACUCCUACGGGAGGCAGCAGUUAGGAAUCUUCCACAAUGGGCGAAAGCCUGAUGGAGCGACGCCGCGUGAGGGAUGAAGGUCUUCGGAUCGUAAACCUCUGAAUCAGGGACGAAAGACACUUCGGUGGGAUGACGGUACCUGAGUAAUAGCACCGGCUAACUCCGUGCCAGCCGCCGCCGUAAGAC
rnacentral:rRNA from 1 species